CCAACUUGAAGGGAUUCCUACCUGCCAAACCUGGGACAAUUAGAGCAUCUGAGUAAAUAAUAGUAAUGAAUUCUUACUCAUUGAAUAAAAGCAGGAAAGAUGAGACCAUACCGAUAAAAGUGAAUAAAUUGAAAGCUUGAGGAAUGGGAAAUUUACAUAACUUCAUUAUGUGUCUGUAGGAGGCUUGUGAGUUACAAGGGAAAAAGGAGUAAGUUCAUGGUGCAGAACCCAAGCAGCCACUAACUGAAGAGACCAAGUGAACAUCACCAGGAGUGGAAGGAGUUGAAAUCAUGUCCACCUGGGAGGAUGUGAUGCAUAGCAUUCCUUCUGUGAGCCAGAGACUUUAACCUGAAUCUGAACAGCAUGAGGCAAGCCAAAACGGAUUUGCUGCUGAAGAACUGGCCAGUAAUCUUUGAAACCGUCAAGCUCAAGGAAGUCAAAGGUGGCCCGGUGGGUGCUCUGGAGGCAGUGCUGGAUUCCAACACCGAGGUCGCUCCCUUUCGAGUUCUGCUUCAAGUUCCCGGCUCACAGGUGUACUCUCCCAUAGCAUGUGGAGAGUUCCUGGAUGGAUGUGACGUUCACUGGGCCAUAGCCACUGGUGCCACAUUAGAGGAAAUCAACCAGCACUGGAACUGGCUGGGACAGAAUCUCCUCCAUACUCUGUCUGUGUUUGAUUAUAAAGACGACAUGGCCAGCUUUGUCAAGGGGAAGGUGAAGGCUACCAAGAAAGGAGAAGCUGCACGCUGUGGUGGACUGCUCCUCUGGAUGCCCUUCAGUCGGUUCCACACUGCAGGGCACAUGAUUUCCUCUGACAGCUCCACCUGCUUUGCCAGCAGAGAAGAUGGCUGCUACAAUGUUGUCCUUCCGCUCAGAGAGGUAGUGAGCAUGGAGAAGAUGGAGGACACCAGUCUGCUGCCCAGCCCCAUCCUCAUCAGCAUCAGGAGCAAGAUGGCCUUCCAGUUCAUCAAGCCAAGGAUAGACAGACCUUGGUGGAGACCCUGCUUGAGAGACUGAAGCGGGUCCACGCCAACCAUCCUGUACACUAUGACACCUCAACCAAUGACAAGGACAUGGCUGGACACACAUCACCUGUUUUGUACUUGACAAGCAUGUGCACUGAGCACAAGUUUGGGGAUCUUGAAAUGGUGUCCUGUCACAGCAGCAAGGAGCAUGAAGACAAGAGCCCACCUCUGCACCCUGGACCCCUGACUGUCGUCCUCCAGCCUUUGGGCAGCCAGAACCCUGACUCUCACCUGGUUGGUGAGGCCACUCCUUUCCUGGUGUGCCAUGGGCACUGGAGGCUGGGCAAUGACCGUGGAGGGUGUGGCACCUGAGCACCACCUCCUCUGGACCCGGGUGGAGAGGUGGCCAUGGACCUUGGGCAGCAAGGGCUCUCUUGAGGGCUCAGACAGCAGAGGGGGAGCCGGCCUUUCCCCUGUCCGUUAGUGGCUCUCAUGUCAUUCCUGCUGUGUGACUUGGGCAGUGGGCGGUGCCGGCCCUGUGGGUUUUCAGGUGUCAACCAAGUGUUCCUCCCACUGGCCGGUGGCAUCUGUGAGCAUCUCAGUGUCAGUUUCCCGCUGUGUGUCUUGGGACAAAGGGCUGCCUGUCCUCUAGUUUUAUGAACUAAAAUUAUUUUUGCUACAUUCAUACUUUUUUCUUUAUAUGGAAAAUUUGAGGCAAACAGACUCCAAUUUCAUAACUAUACUCU